UACUCCUACGGGAGGCAGCAGUGAGGAAUAUUGCUCAAUGGCCGCAAGGCUGAAGCAGCAACGCCGCGUGAGGGAUGAAGGAUCUAUGGCCUGUAAACCUCUGUAGAUAAGGAAAAAUAAUCCAUUAAAUGGAGAUGAUAGUACUUAUAGAGUAAGCCCCGGCUAACUACGUGCCAGCAGCCGCGGUAAUA
rnacentral:rRNA from 1 species